rnacentral:rRNA from 1 species
AUGAACGCUAGCGACAGGCUUAACACAUGCAAGUCGAGGGGCAGCACAGGUAGCAAUACCGGGUGGCGACCGGCGCACGGGUGAGUAACGCGUAUGCAACUUACCUAUCAGAGGGGGAUAACCCGGCGAAAGUCGGACUAAUACCGCAUGAAGCAGGGGCCCCGCAUGGGGAUAUUUGCUAAAGAUUCAUCGCUGAUAGAUAGGCAUGCGUUCCAUUAGGCAGUUGGCGGGGUGACGGCCCACCAAACCGACGAUGGAUAGGGGUUCUGAGAGGAAGGUCCCCCACAUUGGUACUGAGACACGGACCAAACUCCUACGGGAGGCAGCAGUGAGGAAUAUUGGUCAAUGGCCGAGAGGCUGAACCAGCCAAGUCGCGUGAGGGAUGAAGGUUCUAUGGAUCGUAAACCUCUUUUAUAAGGGAAUAAAGUGCGGGACGUGUCCCGUUUUGUAUGUACCUUAUGAAUAAGGAUCGGCUAACUCCGUGCCAGCAGCCGCGGUAAUACGGAGGAUCCGAGCGUUAUCCGGAUUUAUUGGGUUUAAAGGGUGCGUAGGCGGCCUUUUAAGUCAGCGGUGAAAGUCUGUGGCUCAACCAUAGAAUUGCCGUUGAAACUGGGGGGCUUGAGUAUGUUUGAGGCAGGCGGAAUGCGUGGUGUAGCGGUGAAAUGCAUAGAUAUCACGCAGAACCCCGAUUGCGAAGGCAGCCUGCCAAGCCAUGACUGACGCUGAUGCACGAAAGCGUGGGGAUCAAACAGGAUUAGAUACCCUGGUAGUCCACGCAGUAAACGAUGAUCACUAGCUGUUUGCGAUACACUGUAAGCGGCACAGCGAAAGCGUUAAGUGAUCCACCUGGGGAGUACGCCGGCAACGGUGAAACUCAAAGGAAUUGACGGGGGCCCGCACAAGCGGAGGAACAUGUGGUUUAAUUCGAUGAUACGCGAGGAACCUUACCCGGGUUUGAACGCAUUCGGACCGAGGUGGAAACACCUUUUCUAGCAAUAGCCGUUUGCGAGGUGCUGCAUGGUUGUCGUCAGCUCGUGCCGUGAGGUGUCGGCUUAAGUGCCAUAACGAGCGCAACCCUUGCCACUAGUUACUAACAGGUAAAGCUGAGGACUCUGGUGGGACUGCCAGCGUAAGCUGCGAGGAAGGCGGGGAUGACGUCAAAUCAGCACGGCCCUUACAUCCGGGGCGACACACGUGUUACAAUGGCGUGGACAAAGGGAGGCCACCUGGUGACAGGGAGCGAAUCCCCAAACCACGUCUCAGUUCGGAUCGGAGUCUGCAACCCGACUCCGUGAAGCUGGAUUCGCUAGUAAUCGCGCAUCAGCCAUGGCGCGGUGAAUACGUUCCCGGGCCUUGUACACACCGCCCGUCAAGCCAUGGGAGCCGGGGGUACCUGAAGUCCGUAACCGAAAGGAUCGGCCUAGGGUAAAACUGGUGACUGGGGCU